UAUGAAUGAUGGUGACAUGUGUAGAACAGCAGCUCCUGACUGGUUCAGUGUGUUUGCAUAUGUGUGCUGCCUCUCUGCUUCCAGCAGUUAAAGCUCAGUGUUGAUCAGUGGCUGUCCAGACCUUUCAGAGACUCGGACUCGCCCGCAGCACAAUGAUGAUGUCACUGACUCUGCUGCUCUUCACCCUGGAGCUCCUCGUUCAGGCUUCAUCAGGAGAACUCCUUACUCAGACUACUGGAGCUCAGUCUGUGGUUCAAGGACAGACUGUCUCCAUCAGAUGUAAAUCCAGUAGAAGUAAUACCUACAGCUUCAACUGGUAUCUUCAGAAAGAAGGAGAAGUUCCCAAACUUCUAAUUUAUGGUGUAAGCAAUCGUCAGUCUGGAGUUUCUGAUCGUUUCAGUGGAUCAUACUCUGGAUUAGACUUCACUCUGACCAUCAGUGGAGUUCAGCCUGAAGAUUCAGGAGUUUAUUACUGUCAGACUGGCUAUGACAUCAACAGUCAAGCUGUGUUCACACUGUGAAAAACCGUCGUACAAAAACCUCCAUCAGAAACUGAACUGAGAAUGAAACAGUUCACUGAACACUCCCCCACCCCCUCUCACACACACAUUUAUUUUAUUCAGUUAUAUUGUGUGUAAACUCACUGCAAAACUCACAGAUCUUUGUAUUGGCUCCCUCAUGUGCAACUGGUUACUAGACUGCCUUACUAGCAACCCCAAGCAUGUCUGACUGGAUAACUGGUGUUCAUCCACUAUUACCAUAAAUACCGGCGUACCGCAAGGCUGCGUGAUUAGCCCCUUCCUCUACU